CGAAGGCGCUCUACUGGGCCGUAACUGACGCUGAGGGACGAAAGCUAGGGGAGCGAAAGGGAUUAGAUACCCCUGUAGUCCUAGCUGUAAACGAUGGAUACUAGGUGUUGGACGUAUCGACCCGUUCAGUACCGCAGCCAACGCGAUAAGUAUCCCGCCUGGGGAGUACGCACGCAAGUGUGAAACUCAAAGGAAUUGACGGGGGCCCGCACAAGCGGUGGAGUAUGUGGUUUAAUUCGAUGCAACGCGAAGAACCUUACCAGGGCUUGACAUCCCUCGAAUCCUCUUGAAAGAGAGGAGUGCCUUCGGGAGCGAGGAGACAGGUGGUGCAUGGCUGUCGUCAGCUCGUGUCGUGAGAUGUUGGGUUAAGUCCCGCAACGAGCGCAACCCACGUCCUUAGUUGCCAUCAUUGAGUUGGGCACUCUGGGGAGACUGCCGGGGACAGCUCGGAGGAAGGUGUGGAUGACGUCAAGUCAUCAUGCCCCUUACGUUCUGGGCUACACACGUACUACAAUGCUUCGGACAAAGAGCAGCCAACUAGCGAUAGUGGGCUAAUCUCAUAAACCGAGGCACAGUUCAGAUUGCAGGCUGCAACUCGCCUGCAUGAAGGAGGAAUCGCUAGUAAUCGCCGGUCAGCAUACGGCGGUGAAUACGUUCCCGGGCCUUGUACACACCGCCCGUCACACCAUGGGAGUUGGCCACGCCCGAAGUCGUUACUCUAACCGUUCGCGGAGGAGGGCGCCGA
rnacentral:rRNA from 1 species